rnacentral:rRNA from 1 species
UCCUUUGACGUUAGCGGCGGACGGGUGAGUAACACGUGGGUAACCUACCUAUAAGACUGGGAUAACUUCGGGAAACCGGAGCUAAUACCGGAUAAUAUUUCGAACCGCAUGGUUCGAUAGUGAAAGAUGGUUUUGCUAUCACUUAUAGAUGGACCCGCGCCGUAUUAGCUAGUUGGUAAGGUAACGGCUUACCAAGGCGACGAUACGUAGCCGACCUGAGAGGGUGAUCGGCCACACUGGAACUGAGACACGGUCCAGACUCCUACGGGAGGCAGCAGUAGGGAAUCUUCCGCAAUGGGCGAAAGCCUGACGGAGCAACGCCGCGUGAGUGAUGAAGAGUCUUCGGAUCGUAAAACUCUGUUAUUAGGGAAGAACAUACGUGUAAGUAACUAUGCACGUCUUGACGGUACCUAAUCAGAAAGCCACGGCUAACUACGUGCCAGCAGCCGCGGUAAUACGUAGGUGGCAAGCGUUAUCCGGAAUUAUUGGGCGUAAAGCGCGCGUAGGCGGUUUUUUAAGUCUGAUGUGAAAGCCCACGGCUCAACCGUGGAGGGUCAUUGGAAACUGGAAAACUUGAGUGCAGAAGAGGAAAGUGGAAUUCCAUGUGUAGCGGUGAAAUGCGCAGAGAUAUGGAGGAACACCAGUGGCGAAGGCGACUUUCUGGUCUGUAACUGACGCUGAUGUGCGAAAGCGUGGGGAUCAAACAGGAUUAGAUACCCUGGUAGUCCACGCCGUAAACGAUGAGUGCUAAGUGUUAGGGGGUUUCCGCCCCUUAGUGCUGCAGCUAACGCAUUAAGCACUCCGCCUGGGGAGUACGACCGCAAGGUUGAAACUCAAAGGAAUUGACGGGGACCCGCACAAGCGGUGGAGCAUGUGGUUUAAUUCGAAGCAACGCGAAGAACCUUACCAAAUCUUGACAUCCUUUGACAACUCUAGAGAUAGAGCCUUCCCCUUCGGGGGACAAAGUGACAGGUGGUGCAUGGUUGUCGUCAGCUCGUGUCGUGAGAUGUUGGGUUAAGUCCCGCAACGAGCGCAACCCUUAAGCUUAGUUGCCAUCAUUAAGUUGGGCACUCUAAGUUGACUGCCGGUGACAAACCGGAGGAAGGUGGGGAUGACGUCAAAUCAUCAUGCCCCUUAUGAUUUGGGCUACACACGUGCUACAAUGGACAAUACAAAGGGCAGCGAAACCGCGAGGUCAAGCAAAUCCCAUAAAGUUGUUCUCAGUUCGGAUUGUAGUCUGCAACUCGACUACAUGAAGCUGGAAUCGCUAGUAAUCGUAGAUCAGCAUGCUACGGUGAAUACGUUCCCGGGUCUUGUACACACCGCCCGUCACACCACGAGAGUUUGUAACACCCGAAGCCGGUGGAGUAACCAUUUGGAGCUAGCCGUCGAAGGUGGGACAAAUGAUUGGGGUGAAGUCGUAACAAGGUAGCCGUAUCGGAAGGUGGGUGGACCCCCCCCCCUAAUAACCAACGGGGGAGGGGUUUUUGGAAAACGUGGAAAAUUUGAGUGGA